UACGUAGGAGGCGAGCGUUGUCCGGAGUUACUGGGCGUAAAGGGUGCGUAGGCGGCCGCGCGCGUGGCGGGUGAAAUCUCUCGGCUUACCCGGGAGGGUGCUUGCCAGACGGCGCGGCUUGAGGGACGGAGAGGGGCGUGGAAUUCCGGGUGGAGCGGUGAAAUGCGUAGAGAUCCGGAGGAACACCGACGGCGUAGGCAGCGCCCUGGCCGUUACCUGACGCUGAGGAGCGAAAGCGUGGGGAGCGAACAGG
rnacentral:rRNA from 1 species